AACGAACGCUGGCGGCAUGCCCAACACAUGCAAGUCGAACGCGUGGCUUCGGCCACGAGUGGCGCACGGGUGAGUAACGCGUGGGAACCUGCCCGGCAGUACGGGCCAACCGCGGGAAACUGCGGCUGAUACCGAAUACGGCCUGAGGGCGAAAGAAUUUCGCUGUCGGAGGGGCCCGCGUCGGAUUAGGUAGUUGGUGGUGUAACGGCCUACCAAGCCUGCGAUCCGUAGCUGGUCUGAGAGGAUGAUCAGCCACACUGGGACUGAGACACGGCCCAGACUCCUACGGUAGGCAGCAGUGGGGAAUAUUGGACAAUGGGCGCAAGCCUGAGCCAGCAAUGCCGCGUGAGUGAUGAAGGCCUUAGGGUUGUAAAGCUCUUUCGCCCGCGACGAUGAUGACGGUAGCGGGAGAAGAAGCCCCGGCUAACUCCGUGCCAGCCGCCGCGGUAAGAC
rnacentral:rRNA from 1 species